ACAUAGCCAGUCUCCACCAGUCCUGUAUACUGUUCAAAGAAUGUCAGCCACCUUGGAAAGUGAAAGGAAGGCGGCCGUCAGUCCAGCGGACACAGGAACUUUCCUUCCAAUUAUGGACUGCUUAAGAAUAGUCAACUCACCAACGUGCCUAGUCAGUAAAUGAAUUCACUUGAGAACUUGAAAAUCAUCUUUUUUUUGCAGUUUUGUGUUUCAU
rnacentral:lncRNA from 1 species